rnacentral:tRNA from 1 species
UCCCUGGUGGCUAAGUGGUUAAAGAAUCUACCUGCCAAUGCAGGAGACACGGGUUUGAUUCCUGAUCUGGGAA